ensembl:lncRNA
GGAGGAGAUGCCAUCACACAACCAGACUCAGACAAAUAUCUCCCUCCCUGCGUUCUCUCUCUCAAACCUUUACUGGACCCCUGUCUGCCUGGAUGGGGGGGAAGUCACAGGGACAAAGUGUCUGCUGGAGUUUGAACAGGGGGCCUCUUCUGGAAAAGGCUCUUAAAAGGAGUUUUCUUCACAAAAAAAGCACCUCAAGGUUCCAGGUUUCCAGAAGCUGCGCGAUCGACCCAAACGGAGAAGCAGAGUGAUGUCAUCAAGUCGAGCCAAGGCAUCGCAUCUGUGGCCGACCAGGCGAUUUGUGCACCUGCCGUUUUCAACACAACAAAGAGAGCCAAUACAUGUUAGCAGGGUGUUUGGAGCGUACACACACACACACACACACACACACACACACAGACACAGCAGCUGCUACACA